rnacentral:rRNA from 1 species
CCUACGGGAGGCAGCAGUGAGGAAUAUUGGUCAAUGGGCGAGAGCCUGAACCAGCCAAGUCGCGUGAAGGAUGAAGGAUCUAUGGUUUGUAAACGUCGUUUAUAUGGGAAUAAAGUGAGGAACGUGGUCCUGUUUGUAUGUAACAUAUGAAAAAGCAUCGGCUAACGCAGUGCCAGCAGCCGCGGUAAUACGGAGGAUGAGAGCGUUAUCCGGAUUUAAUGGGUUUAAAGGGUGCGUAGGCGGGCGGUUAAGGCAGCGGGCAAAGGUCGGGGCUCAACCCCGACCUGCCGGUGAUACUGGCGGCCUCGAGUGGGCGAGAAGUGUGCGGAAUGCUUGGUGUAGCGGUGAAAUGCAUAGAUAUCACGCAGAACUCCGAUUGCGAAGGCAGCAUACCGGCGCCCGACUGACGCUGAGGCACGAAAGCGUGGGUAUCGAACAGGAUUAGAUACCCCUGUAGUC